CGGAGAGGGAGCCUGAGAAACGGCUACCACAUCCAAGGAUGGCAGCAGGCGCGCAAAUUACCCAAUCCCGACACGGGGAGGUAGUGACAAUAAAUAACAAUACGGGGUUCUUUAGGAUCUCGUAAUUGGAAUGAGUACAAUUUAAAUCUCUUAACGAGGAACAAUUGGAGGGCAAGUCUGGUGCCAGCAGCCGCGGUAAUUCCAGCUCCAAUAGCGUAUAUUAAAGUUGUUGCAGUUAAAAAGCUCGUAGUUGAAUUUCGGGGUUAGUAGGUUGGUCAUGCCUCUGGUAUGUACUGGUCUCACUGAUUCCUCCUUCCUUAUGAACCGUAAUGCCAUUAAUUUGGUGUUGCGGGGAAUUUGGACUGUUACUUUGAAAAAAUUAGAGUGUUUAAAGCAAGCUAACGCUUGAAUACAUUAGCAUGGAAUAAUGAAAUAGGACGUUCGAUCUUAUUUUGUUGGUUUCUAGGAUUGACGUAAUGAUUAAUAGGGAUAGUUGGGGGCAUUAGUAUUCAAUUGUCAGAGGUGAAAUUCUUGGAUUUAUUGAAGACUAACUACUGCGAAAGCAUUUGCCAAGGAUGUUUUCAUUAAUCAAGAACGAAAGUUAGGGGAUCGAAGACGAUCAGAUACCGUCGUAGUCUUAACCAUAAACUAUGCCGACUAGGGAUCGGAUGAUGUUAAUUUUUUAAUGACUCAUUCGGCGCCUUACGGGAAACCA
rnacentral:rRNA from 1 species